rnacentral:ncRNA from 1 species
GGUAGUAGCAAAUACUCCAGCGAGGCCCUGGAGGACUGACGUGGAGAAGGGUUUCGUGUGAACAGCCGUUGCACACGAGUCAGUCGAUCCUAAGCCCUAAGAGAAAUCCUAUGUGAAUGAGGUGUCCUAAAACAAAUGUUUUGUGUACAAGACACACACCCGUUGGGCGAAAGGGAAUCCGGUUUCUAUUCCGGAACCCGGCAGCGGAACCGCAUACCAUUCGGGCCCUCGUAAGAGUGUUCGUCGGGGUAACCCAAAAUGACCUGGAGACGCCGUCGGGAGAUCCGGGGAGAGUUUUCUUUUCUGUAUAAGCGUUCGAGUUCCCUGGAAACCUCUAGCAGGGAGAUAGGGUUUGGAACGCGAAGAGCACCGCAGUUGCGGCGGUGUCCGGAUCUUCCCCUCGGACCUUGAAAAUCCAGGAGAGGGCCACGUGGAGGUGUCGCGCCGGUUCGUACCCAUAUCCGCAGCAGGUCUCCAAGGUAAAGAGCCUCUAGUC